rnacentral:rRNA from 1 species
CUACGGAAGGUCCGGGCGUUAUCCGGAUUUAUUGGGUUUAAAGGGAGCGCAGGCGGAGAUGCAAGCGUGACGUCAAAUUUCGGGGCUCAACCCCGUCUCGCGUCGCGAACUGCGUCCCUUGGUUGCGGGAAGGGGAGGCGGAACUCGUGGUGUAGCGGUGAAAUGCAUAGAUAUCACGAAGAACUCCGAUCGCGAAGGCAGCCUUCCGGCCCGUCAACGACGCUCAUGCUCGAAGGUGCGGGUAUCAAACAGGAUUAGAUACCCUGGUAGUCCGCACAGUAAACGAUGGACACCCGCGGUUUGGCCUAUAUGGCUGAGCCGCCAAGCGAAAGCGUUAAGUGUCCCACCUGGGGAGUACGCCGGCAACGGUGAAACUCAAAUGAAUUGACGGGG